UGCUGGCUCACCCUGUCUUUUUAUGACUCACAACAAAGAAGAUGGCACUGCUGCUCUCAGGGGAUGUUGUCUCCAUAGCCCAAAGGAGCCAGUUAACACAGUGGAGAGAAUGUUCAGAGAAACAGCCUUUCCACACUACAUCGACACAGACAUCAGCAUGAUGGAGCAACGAAAUGUGCUUUCUGUGGAAACUGGUCAGAUCCAUGAGGCUUCAUUUUGCUUUCUGCUUUACCUCAUUGCCCUUUUCCUCCUUCCUUGUGUCCCAGAGAUUACAACUUCCCACUAAAACGUGAGCCUGUGAAUUUUGUCUCAGGCUUAGUUUUUAGGAGAACCUGGGCUAAGACACUAUUGUGUGUAUUACGGAGAUAAGACCAGUCUUCUCCAAAAUGUGUCUUCAGUUUCUGUAACUCAUAUUUUGCAGUUUCAAGCACUUUCACAUCUAUAAACAAUAACUCUGGGAGGUACAGUUUCCCUAAGUACAAAAUAUUUCUCUGAGAUG
rnacentral:lncRNA from 1 species